UGGGGAAUAUUGGACAAUGGGGGCAACCCUGAUCCAGCAAUGCCGCGUGAGUGAAGAAGGCCUUCGGGUUGUAAAGCUCUUUUGUUAGGGACGAUGAUGACGGUACCUAACGAAUAAGCCCCGGCUAACUUCGUGCCAGCAGCCGCGGUAAUACGAAGGGGGCUAGCGUUGUUCGGAAUGACUGGGCGUAAAGGGCGCGUAGGCGGUUCUAUAAGUUUGGUGUGAAAGUCCUGGGCUUAACCUGGGGACGGCAUUGGAUACUGUAGGGCUAGAGGCUAAGAGAGGGAAAUGGAAUUGCGUGUGUAGAGGUGAAAUUCGUAGAGAUGCGCAAGAACACCGGUGGCGAAGGCGAUUUCCUGGCUUAGGACUGACGCUAAGGCGCGAAAGCGUGGGGAGCAAA
rnacentral:rRNA from 1 species